rnacentral:rRNA from 1 species
UACGGGGGGAGCAAGCGUUGCUCGGAAUGACUGGGCGUAAAGGGCGCGUAGGCGGCUCAUACAGUCAGAUGUGAAAUUCCUGGGCUUAACCUGGGGGCUGCAUUUGAUACGUGUGGGCUUGAGUGGGGAAGAGGGUCGUGGAAUUCCCAGUGUAGAGGUGAAAUUCGUAGAUAUUGGGAAGAACACCGGUGGCGAAGGCGGCGACCUGGUCCUUGACUGACGCUGAGGCGCGAAAGCGUGGGGAGCAAACAGG